AUGGUGGUCGGGCCGGGGCCGGGGCUGCUGGCCUUGGCCUUGGCCUUGUGGCCGGCAGGGCUCUGGGCACGGCCGAGGCUGCAGGAGGCCGGCGGAGGGCAGCGAGCGCCCGGGGACUCCGUCACCCUCUCCUGCCGCGGAUCCGGAUUCAUCUUUAGUAGUUAUGCAAUUUUUUGGUACCGUCAGUUCCCCGGAAGCAUCCCAGAGUGGGUGUCUCUCAUUGACUACUUCGGCAAAGUAAAGUACGGAGCAGCAGUGCAGGGUUGGGCCACAGUCUCACGGGACGAUUCCCAGUCUCUGUCGUCUCUGGUUUUGCGGGCUCUGCAGCCCAGCGACUCUGCCCGCUACUUCUGUGCCAUUCACACAGAGACAGGAAACCCAGCUGAGCUGUAA